CCCUUAGAUGUUCUGGGCCGCACGCGCGCUACACUGACGAAUGCAACGAGCUUAUAACCUUGGCCGAAAGGUCUGGGUAAUCUCCAAAUUUCGUCGUGAUGGGGAUAGAUUCUUGCAAUUUUUGAUCUUCAACGAGGAAUUCCUAGUAAACGCGAGUCAUCAACUCGCAUUGAUUACGUCCCUGCCCUUUGUACACACCGCCCGUCGCACCUACCGAUUGAAUGGUCCGGUGAACCCUCCGGAUCGGCCCGCGCCAACGCAAGUUGAGCAAAGGCCGAGAAGUUGGGUAAACCUUACCAUUUAGAGGAAGGUGAAGUCGUAACA
rnacentral:rRNA from 1 species